AUAUCAGUAACCUCCAAAGGACUCAUGCACCAGAGCCAACCAUGAUGCGGUGCAAAGGAAUACACUGCUAGCUUAUGUACAGAUGAGUGGUAGUUUUCAUCUUCCGAGGCACUUGUUGCUUCUGGCACCAUGGAUGAUGCUGCAGUUCUUAAGAGGAAAGGCUACAUCAUGGGGAGCAAUUUAGGAGAGAGCUCUUUUGCGAAAGUCAAAUGUGCCUACUCUGAGCGCCUGAAAUUCCACGUAGCAGUGAAGAUUACAGAUAGGAAAAAAGUUCCUCCUGAGUUCUUGGAAAAAUUUCUCCCCAGGGAAUUAGAGAUAUUGGCAACAGUGAGCCACUGUUCUAUCGUCAAGAUCUAUGAGAUCUUUGAGACAUCUGGCAAAGUCUACAUAGUCAUGGAGCUUGGUGUACGAGGAGACUUACUAGAGUUCAUCAAGAGAAACAGAGGUCUACCAGAAGAAGUGGCACGCAAGAUGUUUCGCCAGCUAUGUUGUGCUGUCAAAUACUGCCACGAUUUGGAUGUUGUUCACAGAGAUCUGAAAUGUGACAACAUCCUCCUGGAUAAAGACAUGAACAUCAAACUGUCUGACUUUGGCUUUUCCAAACGCUGCUUCCGGGAUGAGAAUGGGAAAAUGAUCCUCAGUCAAACCUUCUGUGGUUCUGCUGCAUAUGCCGCUCCUGAAGUCAUAGAAGGCAUUCCUUAUCAGCCCAAAGUUUAUGACAUAUGGAGUCUGGGUGUCAUUCUGUAUGUAAUGGUUAGUGGAUAUAUGCCAUAUGAUGACUCCAAUGUUAAGAGAAUGCUACGCUUUCAGAAGGAACAUCGAGUGAUCUUUCCUGAGUCUUUCACACAUGAAUGCAAAGAUCUUAUUUUCCGAAUGCUGCAGCCUGAUGUGUCUCAUCGGCUACGAAUCGAAGAUGUUUUGAACCAUUCUUGGGUGCAGGGGAAGCGCCAGAAGCCAAACACCAUGCUUCCCUAAUCAAAUAAUAAACCACUAGGCACAAACAAAAGGUGCUCUUAUCUCCUGCGGAGGCAUUAUGUGAUAGCUCUCCCAGUUUUCCCUGGACGUACUAUUAUAAAUACUACUAGACAGCAUGGAUGGUGAGGAAAGAUAUAUUAACUCAGCUGUGAUGGCAGGAAAGCCACCAUUUGACACACUCUGGACUACACAAGUGAAGGGGAUUAUACCAUUCACCAGUUACAAAAUCAUGGGGCUACUUAGAAUUCUGUCAGAACUGGAGCCACAAUAUCAGAAAGGAGACAUCCAUAGAAAACAAAGCUGAAAAGAAAACCAAAAGGCCAGCAAAGAAGGGAAAGGGGCAGCUGCUGAGAGAAGGAGGAGGAAGGAAUGUGUCAGUUUCUUUGUAACUUGCUCACUUGUAAUAAACAGCAUGAAAGAAUAAAAAAUAUC